AAGUCGUAACAAGGUUUCCGUAGGUGAACCUGCGGAAGGAUCAUUCUUGAUAAUGUAGCUUUAUGCUAUCAUUAAACAUGUGCACCGUUACUGCCAUUUGGCGGCCGAAAGGUCGUCGUCUGGCCCCAAUUUUUAAUUUACUAGCAACUUUUUGUACCAGUAAUCAUAAAAUCAUAUGACAACUUUUAGCAAUGGAUCUCUAGGCUCUC
rnacentral:misc_RNA from 1 species